rnacentral:pre_miRNA from 1 species
UCUUAUGGAUGAGCAAAGAAAGCGGAUUCUUGAAAUGGAAUCUGCUCCUAGUAAAGAUGCUUUGAA